rnacentral:rRNA from 1 species
UACGUAGGUUCCGAGCGUUGUCCGGAUUUAUUGGGCGUAAAGCGAGCGCAGGCGGUUAGAUAAGUCUGAAGUUAAAGGCUGUGGCUUAACCAUAGUACGCUUUGGAAACUGUUUAACUUGAGUGCAAGAGGGGAGAGUGGAAUUCCAUGUGUAGCGGUGAAAUGCGUAGAUAUAUGGAGGAACACCGGUGGCGAAAGCGGCUCUCUGGCUUGUAACUGACGCUGAGGCUCGAAAGCGUGGGGAGCAAACAGGAU